GCUCGAUUAGUUUAAUGGCAAAACACUUGAUUUGUAAUCAUGAAUUGUUGGUUCGGCUCCAACAUCGAGCUCCA
rnacentral:tRNA from 1 species